rnacentral:misc_RNA from 1 species
AAGUCGUAACAAGGUUUCCGUAGGUGAACCUGCGGAAGGAUCAAUACUGGAGGGAGAGAGAUAUGUUGAACAGAGACAAUGACAUUGACACACUAUGUAAUACGAUACAACUCAUGACAAUGGAUCUCUGGGCUCUU